rnacentral:rRNA from 1 species
UACGUAGGGUGCAGGCGUUAAUCGGAAUUACUGGGCGUAAAGCGUGCGCAGGCGGUUUCUUAAGUCAGAUGUGAAAGCCCCGGGCUUAACCUGGGAACUGCGUUUGAAACUGGGAGACUAGAGUGUGGCAGGGGGGUGGAAUUCCACGUGUAGCAGUGAAAUGCGUAGAUAUGUGGAGGAACACCGAUGGCGAAGGCAGCCCCCUGGGUUAACUCUGACGCUCAGGCACGAAAGCGUGGGGAGCAAACAGG